UGGAGCGGUAGCGCAACUGGAUAGAGCAUCGGUCUUCUAAACCGAGGGUUGUGGGUUCGAUUCCCACCCGUUCCAU
rnacentral:tRNA from 1 species